rnacentral:rRNA from 1 species
UACAUAGGGGGCAAGCGUUGUCCGGAUUUAUUGGGCGUAAAGCGAGUGCAGGCGGUUCAAUAAGUCUGAUGUGAAAGCCUUCGGCUCAACCGGAGAAUCGCAUCAGAAACUGUUGAACUUGAGUGCAGAAGAGGAGAGUGGAACUCCAUGUGUAGCGGUGGAAUGCGUAGAUAUAUGGAAGAACAUCAGUGGCGAAGGCGGCUGUCUGGUCUGCAACUGACGCUGAGGCUCGAAAGCGUGGGGAUCAAACA